AGAGUUUGAUCCUGGCUCAGGGCGAACGCUGGCGGCGUGCCUAAUACAUGCAAGUCGAGCGGGCAGAUGGGAGCUUGCUCCCUGAUGUUAGCGGCGGACGGGUGAGUAACACGUGGGUAACCUGCCUGUAAGACUGGGAUAACUCCGGGAAACCGGGGCUAAUACCGGAUGGUUGUUUGAACCGCAUGGUUCAAACAUAAAAGGUGGCUUCGGCUACCACUUACAGAUGGACCCGCGGCGCAUUAGCUAGUUGGUGAGGUAACGGCUCACCAAGGCGACGAUGCGUAGCCGACCUGAGAGGGUGAUCGGCCACACUGGGACUGAGACACGGCCCAGACUCCUACGGGAGGCAGCAGUAGGGAAUCUUCCGCAAUGGACGAAAGUCUGACGGAGCAACGCCGCGUGAGUGAUGAAGGUUUUCGGAUCGUAAAGCUCUGUUGUUAGGGAAGAACAAGUGCCGUUCGAAUAGGGCGGUACCUUGACGGUACCUAACCAGAAAGCCACGGCUAACUACGUGCCAGCAGCCGCGGUAAUACGUAGGUGGCAAGCGUUGUCCGGAAUUAUUGGGCGUAAAGGGCUCGCAGGCGGUUUCUUAAGUCUGAUGUGAAAGCCCCCGGCUCAACCGGGGAGGGUCAUUGGAAACUGGGGAACUUGAGUGCAGAAGAGGAGAGUGGAAUUCCACGUGUAGCGGUGAAAUGCGUAGAGAUGUGGAGGAACACCAGUGGCGAAGGCGACUCUCUGGUCUGUAACUGACGCUGAGGAGCGAAAGCGUGGGGAGCGAACAGGAUUAGAUACCCUGGUAGUCCGCGCCGUAAACGAUGAGUGCUAAGUGUUAGGGGGUUUCCGCCCCUUAGUGCUGCAGCUAACGCAUUAAGCACUCCGCCUGGGGAGUACGGUCGCAAGACUGAAACUCAAAGGAAUUGACGAGGGCCCGCACAAGCGGAGGAGCAUGUGGUUUAAUUCGAAGCAACGCGAAGAACCUUACCAGGUCUUGACAUCCUCUGACAAUCCUAGAGAUAGGACGUCCCCUUCGGGGGCAGAGUGACAGGUGGUGCAUGGUUGUCGUCAGCUCGUGUCGUGAGAUGUUGGGUUAAGUCCCGCAACGAGCGCAACCCUUGAUCUUAGUUGCCAGCAUUCAGUUGGGCACUCUAAGGUGACUGCCGGUGACAAACCGGAGGAAGGUGGGGAUGACGUCAAAUCAUCAUGCCCCUUAUGACCUGGGCUACACACGUGCUACAAUGGACAGAACAAAGGGCAGCGAAACCGCGAGGUUAAGCCAAUCCCACAAAUCUGUUCUCAGUUCGGAUCGCAGUCUGCAACUCGACUGCGUGAAGCUGGAAUCGCUAGUAAUCGCGGAUCAGCAUGCCGCGGUGAAUACGUUCCCGGGCCUUGUACACACCGCCCGUCACACCACGAGAGUUUGUAACACCCGAAGUCGGUGAGGUAACCUUUUAGGAGCCAGCCGCCGAAGGUGGGACAGAUGAUUGGGGUGAAGUCGUAACAAGGUA
rnacentral:rRNA from 1 species